CGGAUUCUUCUUCAUUAUCCAUCUGGAAUUCAUUUUUGUCUCCUCUUUCAGUCACCAUGUCUGGGAAGUUGACUCACUUGAUUUUUUCCUUGGAAAAGACUCUCAUGUCUGACCCUUCCCAUUCCCACCACUCCCCCUUUAAUUCCCUUGAGCCUGUACUAACACAGUAAUUCUCGCACAGCACGUCCUACCCCAGUGUUAUCCACAGCAACUACAGCAUCAUCAUAAAGCACAACAUCACAGCCCUGCUCAAAAGCUUUCUUUGUUCUUUCUUUUUUUAAAAAAAUUUUUUGUAGUUGUGGAUGGACAGCUUGCCUUUAUUUGUUUCAUUUUCAUGUGGUGCUAAAGAUGGAACCCAGUGCUUCACACAUGCUAGGCAAGUGCUCUGCCACUGAGCUACAGCCCCAGCCCCAAGCUUUCUUAUCUCCAUUUCUUACCUGGUUUUCGAGACCUUCUACAAUAAGACCCCAGCUAAGUGUCUCAUCGAUUCUAAGAAACAUUUUUUUUAAAAGAGGCAUUGAAAUGUCUCUAAAAUUAGAUUGCAUCUUACAAUUGACGGAAAUCAUAGUUUCUUAGAUUCAGUGAUCUUUUCCUAGUUUACCUUGGCUAUAGGAUACCUCUAUUCUAGACAGCAGAACUUCUCACUGUGCUAUGCUGUGGUAACUCAUUCUUUCUCAACUAAAACUUUUGUUUAGACAUUUUCCUGUCCAUAUAUCCUUUCCCCUGCAACUCCUGUCUUAAGUCAGUCUGUAAAAAUCCAGGUGACCUUUAAGGCCCAGCUCAAAAGCCAUUGCCUCAAAGAACUUUGUUCACCACCUUAGCUGAACCUCAGCCUUUGUCUUUGUCUUUCUUUGCC
rnacentral:lncRNA from 1 species